UUUGCUGCUGCACACAAACAUGACUAAAACAUCCAAGGUUGGCGAUAGCAUGGUUACCGUAUCUGUUUGAGCCUGAAUCAGAGGAAGGAUCUGACAUCGAGGAGCAACCUGCCAGUAAAUUGGAAAUGACUUCUUCAGACUGGUCAGAAGAAUAAGAAUGACCUAGAUUCCUGAGGAGAUAACCUGUAUGGCUCACCAUCCUGGCCUUCAUCCGUGCCUCAAUAUAUAUUCUUUGCAAAAUGCAAUGAAUAUUUACAGAGUUGACCAUGGCCAGUUGAGAAUCAGAUGGAUGGAAAGGCAAUGCAGACACAGGGCUUAUAGGACUUUUGUGAGCUGGUGCUGGGUUUCUUGGUAGAAGUGUCCGUGCCGUGACCCCUCUUGUGUUGUGCAGCGUGGAGGGAGUUUCUGGAUGUUUCAGGGCAGUAUGUCGGGUUGGGUGCCUGUCGAGCUGAGCACACAGGUCCUGGGGCACAG